GACGAACGCUGGCGGCGUGCCUAAUACAUGCAAGUAGAACGCUGAAGAGAGGAGCUUACUCUUCUUGGAUGAGUUGCGAACGGGUGAGUAACGCGUAGGUAACCUGCCUUGUAGCGGGGGAUAACUAUUGGAAACGAUAGCUAAUACCGCAUAACAAUGGAUGACACAUGUCAUUUAUUUGAAAGGGGCAAUUGCUCCACUACAAGAUGGACCUGCGUUGUAUUAGCUAGUAGGUGAGGUAAUGGCUCACCUAGGCGACGAUACAUAGCCGACCUGAGAGGGUGAUCGGCCACACUGGGACUGAGACACGGCCCAGACUCCUACGGGAGGCAGCAGUAGGGAAUCUUCGGCAAUGGGGGCAACCCUGACCGAGCAACGCCGCGUGAGUGAAGAAGGUUUUCGGAACGUAAAGCUCUGUUGUAAGUCAAGAACGGGUGUGAGAGUGGAAAGUUCACACUGUGACGGUAGCUUACCAGAAAGGGACGGCUAACUACGUG
rnacentral:rRNA from 1 species